GUGCACCAAGGGAGUUUUCUAUAUAUGGAGCGAGGACCAAAGAUGAGACAGGCACCUAUCUGGGAACAGUGGUCUAUGAUCUGGACGGAGCUAUGUUUCAGACCUUUAGUCUUUCUAAUCCAGACAACAGUGUUUUCAGAUAUGUGAAGCUACAGACUGAGAACAACUGGGGAAACAUAGACUACACCUGCCUCUACAGCUUCAGGGUUCAAUGGAAAACUCC